CUGUCCGUCAGUUGUUUGCUGCAAUCUUAGCUGUUCCUGCUACUUUUGAUGACGACUCCUUACCUUUGCCACUUUGGACUGCCCGCCUGUUGUCAAAACUCUGUUUUCAUGAACUGACAACUCUGGCCGAUUGCCUCGGCUGCAUGUGGCGCGAGUGACUGAAGAUGUUGGAACUCUCCACUACAGGGAUCCACCAGCAGGCCCACAGACCUGCAGUGCAGCGACGGCACCACGCCAACCUGUGCCCGGCUCCCACCACAGCUCCAUCCAAAACGUUUAAUCAAAAGGGACAUUCUCUCCACUUGGUCCCGCAAGGAAAUAGAAGUUGUUGAGCUGUUGGCCCAUGCUGUGCACCUUGGCAGCUCGACAAAGAAUAACCCAGAAUGGUCUACUCUCCGCUACAGCGCCAGGGCAUUGGAGAGGAGGCCAGUGAUACAAUCUGAAUUUUCCAACAGGCAAUUGAAGCUUUGGGGACAUGGUUGAUGGUGAUGUGUCCAACGGUGGCCUGAUCAGCCUUUCUGUCUGUUUAUCAUCUCCUCGAAACAGGGCCUGCAUGUCACUUCCAGCAGAUGUUGAUUCAAGUCCCUGAAUGAAUGUCAGGGGGGAAAAUUAUUGUAAUUUCACUCGUCAAGCAUGAUUGUAGCAUGUACCCCAAUAUUAAGGUCACCUUUUUCUGGCUGCACUGAUUCAUUUAGACACUGCUGUGCAAUUUCACUGUCAAACACAGACCACAUGUCUUACAUGUAUGUUUUUUUAUUUUACUUUUGAGGUUGCGUCUUUCCUUGUGUCAAAUUACAGAAAGCUAUUUUACACCUUUGCUUCAAAUUGUGAUGCAAUGAUAGUAAAACCUCAGGUUGAGUGUUUGACUCCCAUUGCACCAGUCUAUACAACCUGCGCUGAUAAGACUAUUGUACAUUUAGGUUCUUUAGAUAAGAGUCCACCUGAUAACUAAUAUUAUUAGUAGUUGCAGUCAGGGGCGUGGUAGUGUUGAGAGGGAAAGUGGAACUUAGUACCCAGUGCCCCAACAUAGGGAGCACCAUCAAAAAAGCUGAACAUUUUUAAUAUUCUGCUUCUAUGUUGCAGCAGACUGGGCUAGCAUCUGGUCCGAUGUGGUUUGUCAAGUCUGACUAUCAUGGUUUUUUUAUCUACAUCAUUGUUUGAAUGCAGAAAAUCACCUUUUUUUUAGAAUAAUAAAUAGAAUAAAGGUUUCACAGAGAUAAGUCAAAAUGUCAUCUGGACAGUAAAUAAUGACUGGCACACGGAAAAGGAAGUCUUU